rnacentral:rRNA from 1 species
CGGACGGGUGAGUAAUGUCUGGGAAACUGCCUGAUGGAGGGGGACAACUACUGGAAACGGUAGCUAAUACCGCAUAACGUCGCAAGACCAAAGAGGGGGACCUUCGGGCCUCUUGCCAUCGGAUGUGCCCAGAUGGGAUUAGCUAGUAGGUGGGGUAACGGCUCACCUAGGCGACGAUCCCUAGCUGGUCUGAGAGGAUGCCAGCCACACUGGAACUGAGACACGGUCCAG